ACUUUUAAAGGGUAACAGCUAUCCAUUGACCUUAGGAGUCAAAAAUAUUGGU
rnacentral:tRNA from 1 species